rnacentral:rRNA from 1 species
AAGCGUUGUCCGGAAUCAUUGGGCGUAAAGCGCGCGUAGGUGGCCUCAUAAGUCCGCUGGGAAAGUCAAAGGCUCAACCUUUGAAAGCCGGUGGAUACUGUGAGGCUAGAGUACGGAAGAGGCGAGUGGAAUUCCUGGUGUAGCGGUGGAAUGCGCAGAUAUCAGGAGGAACACCAAUAGCGAAGGCAGCUCGCUGGGACGUUACUGACACUGAGGCGCGAAAGCGUGGGGAGCGAACAGG